rnacentral:ncRNA from 1 species
UCUUAUCGAGAGAGAUGGAGGGACUGGCCCUGUGAAAUCUCAGCAACCACCAAUUUGGUAAGGUGCUAAUUCCAGUAGAUGUAUUUCUAGCAGAUAAG